rnacentral:lncRNA from 1 species
GAGCAAUUUAACUAAUUUUCAGAGUAUAAGAGCAAUAUAUUAAGUAUGAUUGCAAAGUUCUUUUAUGAUGUAAAAAUAUUGUGGCAUAAACACCAAAACAUGAAUUCAUGCAAUUUAUGAUAUAUCUUAGAGCAUACAUAAAAUUCAAGGCUUUGAAGAUUCUUUUAAAGCUCUUUUAAAGACUUUAUUCCUUUAAAAAA